CCGCGGCCCAUUAUGCUCGUUGGUGAGGUAACGGCCCACCAAGGCGAUGAUGGGUAUCCGGCCUGAGAGGGUGGACGGACACAUUGGGACUGAGAUACGGCCCAGACUUCUACGGGAGGCAGCAGUUAAGAAUAUUCCGCAAUGGACGAAAGUCUGACGGAGCGACGCCGCGUGGAUGAAGAAUGCCGAAAGGUUGUAAAAUCCUUUUAAGCCUGAGGAAUAAGCACAGUAGGGAAUGAUUGUGUGGUGACUGUAGGGCUUGAAUAAGCACCGGCAAAUUACGUGCCAGCAGCCGCGGUAACACGUAAGGUGCGAGCGUUGUUCGGAAUUAUUGGGCGUAAAGGGCAUGUAGGCGGAUGAGCAAGCUUGGUGUGAAAUGCUACAGCUUAACUGUGGGACAGCAUUGAGAACUGCACAUCUUGAAUUACUGAAGGGUAACUAGAAUUCCACGUGUAGGGGUGAAAUCUGUAGAUAUGUGGAAGAAUACCAAUGGCGAAGGCAAGUUACCGGCAGAUAAUUGACGCUGAGGUGCGAAAGUGCGGGGAGCGAACAGGAUUAGAUACCCUGGUAGUCCGCACAGUAAACGAUGUACACUAGGUGUCUGGCAACAAAGCUGGGUGCCAAAGCAAACGUGGUAAGUGUACCGCCUGGGGAGUAUGCCCGCAAGGGUGAAACUCAAAGGAAUUNACGGGGGCCCGCACAAGCGGUGGAGCAUGUGGUUUAAUUCGAUGGUACGCGAGGAACCUUACCUGGGUUUGACAUAGUACUUA
rnacentral:rRNA from 1 species